UACGUAGGGUGCAAGCGUUGUCCGGAAUUAUUGGGCGUAAAGAGCUCGUAGGUGGCCUGUCGCGUCGGCUGUGAAAACUCGGGGCUCAACUCCGAGCUUGCAGUCGAUACGGGCAGGCUAGAGUUCGGCAGGGGGAGACUGGAAUUCCUGGUGUAGCGGUGAAAUGCGCAGAUAUCAGGAGGAACACCGGUGGCGAAGGCGGGGUCUCUGGGGCCGAUACUGACACUGAGGAGCGAAAGCGUGGGGGAGCGAACAGG
rnacentral:rRNA from 1 species